GCACCCUUGGUGUAUGGAAACACACUUCUUCGAUGUGGCCAGACGUCCAAAUGGUCAAGAUGAGUCCGGGGUUCAAAUCUCCGAGGGUGCA